CAGAUUGAACGCUGGCGGCAUGCCUUACACAUGCAAGUCGAACGGUAGAGUAGCAAUACUCGAGAGUGGCGAACGGGUGAGUAAUAUAUCGGAACGUGCCCAGUCGUGGGGGAUAACGUAGAGAAAUUUACGCUAAUACCGCAUACGAUCUACGGAUGAAAGCGGGGGAUUCGCAAGGACCUCGCGCGAUUGGAGCGGCUGAUAUCAGAUUAGGUUGUUGGUGAAGGUAAAAGCUACAACC
rnacentral:rRNA from 1 species